AAAUUGAAGAGUUUGAUCAUGGCUCAGAUUGAACGCUGGCGGCAGGCCUAACACAUGCAAGUCGAACGGUAACAGGAAGCAGCUUGCUGCUUCGCUGACGAGUGGCGGACGGGUGAGUAAUGUCUGGGAAACUGCCUGAUGGAGGGGGAUAACUACUGGAAACGGUAGCUAAUACCGCAUAACGUCGCAAGACCAAAGAGGGGGACCUUCGGACCUCUUGCCAUCGGAUGUGCCCAGAUGGGAUUAGCUAGUAGGUGGGGUAACGGCUCACCUAGGCGACGAUCCCUAGCUGGUCUGAGAGGAUGACCAGCCACACUGGAACUGAGACACGGUCCAGACU
rnacentral:rRNA from 1 species